UACGUAGGGUGCGAGCGUUUGUCCGGAAUUAUUGGGCGUAAAGGGCUCGUAGGCGGUUUGUCGCGUCGGGAGUGAAAACCUUGGGCUUAACUCAGGGCUUGCUUUCGAUACGGGCAGACUAGAGGUAUGCAGGGGAGAACGGAAUUCCUGGUGUAGCGGUGAAAUGCGCAGAUAUCAGGAGGAACACCGGUGGCGAAGGCGGUUCUCUAGUACGGUACUGACGCUGAGACGCGAAAGCGUGGGGAGCGAACAGG
rnacentral:rRNA from 1 species